AUCCUUUCGUAGUUCAUAAGCAUGAUGAUUAGGCGUUCACACACGUUCCUGUGUAAGAUGUGCCACCUUCAAAUCUUUUUUUU
ensembl:snoRNA